rnacentral:snoRNA from 1 species
CGUCGAUGAUGAUAAAUCUAAAGGCUUGUUUCUCAAGACAUUCGCAGUGGCCGCCUGAGAGCUUUCGCCUUGCCGGGCUUGAGAGCUUCUGCUGCUCGACUCUUCCUUGGAUGUCUGAGAUC